GAUGAACGCUGGCGGCGUGCCUAAUACAUGCAAGUCGAGCGAACGGACGAGAAGCUUGCUUUUCUGAUGUUAGCGGCGGACGGGUGAGUAACACGUGGAUAACCUACCUAUAAGACUGGGAUAACUUCGGGAAACCGGAGCUAAUACCGGAUAAUAUUUUGAACCGCAUGGUUCAAAAGUGAAAGACGGUCUUGCUGUCACUUAUAGAUGGAUCCGCGCUGCAUUAGCUAGUUGGUAAGGUAACGGCUUACCAAGGCAACGAUGCAUAGCCGACCUGAGAGGGUGAUCGGCCACACUGGAACUGAGACACGGUCCAGACUCCUACGGGAGGCAGCAGUAGGGAAUCUUCCGCAAUGGGCGAAAGCCUGACGGAGCAACGCCGCGUGAGUGAUGAAGGUCUUCGGAUCGUAAAACUCUGUUAUUAGGGAAGAACAUAUGUGUAAGUAACUGUGCACAUCUUGACGGUACCUAAUCAGAAAGCCACGGCUAACUACGUGCCAGCAGCCGCGGUAAUACGUAGGUGGCAAGCGUUAUCCGGAAUUAUUGGGCGUAAAGCGCGCGUAGGCGGUUUUUUAAGUCUGAUGUGAAAGCCCACGGCUCAACCGUGGAGGGUCAUUGGAAACUGGAAAACUUGAGUGCAGAAGAGGAAAGUGGAAUUCCAUGUGUAGCGGUGAAAUGCGCAGAGAUGUGGAGGAACACCAGUGGCGAAGGCGACUUUCUGGUCUGUAACUGACGCUGAUGUGCGAAAGCGUGGGGAUCAAACAGGAUUAGAUACCCUGGUAGUCCACGCCGUAAACGAUGAGUGCUAAGUGUUAGGGGGUUUCCGCCCCUUAGUGCUGCAGCUAACGCAUUAAGCACUCCGCCUGGGGAGUACGACCGCAAGGUUGAAACUCAAAGGAAUUGACGGGGGCCCGCACAAGCGGUGGAGCAUGUGGUUUAAUUCGAAGCAACGCGAAGAACCUUACCAAAUCUUGACAUCCUUUGACAACUCUAGAGAUAGAGCCUUCCCCUUCGGGGGACAAAGUGACAGGUGGUGCAUGGUUGUCGUCAGCUCGUGUCGUGAGAUGUUGGGUUAAGUCCCGCAACGAGCGCAACCCUUAAGCUUAGUUGCCAUCAUUAAGUUGGGCACUCUAAGUUGACUGCCGGUGACAAACCGGAGGAAGGUGGGGAUGACGUCAAAUCAUCAUGCCCCUUAUGAUUUGGGCUACACACGUGCUACAAUGGACAAUACAAAGGGCAGCGAAACCGCGAGGUCAAGCAAAUCCCAUAAAGUUGUUCUCAGUCCGGAUUGUAGUCUGCAACUCGACUACAUGAAGCUGGAAUCGCUAGUAAUCGUAGAUCAGCAUGCUACGGUGAAUACGUUCCCGGGUCU
rnacentral:rRNA from 1 species